rnacentral:lncRNA from 1 species
ACUUCACUCUGGAGGCCGUUCUCAGAGCCUAUUUCACAGCUCAUUCAGAAGGAAAAUGAGGGGGCCUUUUCCAUUUCCAGUAUUAAAUGAUUUAAUUCACAAGGGACUUGGUCAACACAAGUAUCCCAACAGAGCCCAGGCCCUGUAUCAUUUGCAAUUUACCAUUCUGAUUAAAACCAACCCAACCCCAUCAAGCUCUGCAUGGGGUGAACCAGCCGAAACUGCACCACAGGCCCCAGCAGGACAUCCGGCCCAGGGAACUGAGGCCGGGGAGGGGAGGGGGAGCCGGGAGUGCCUCUGCCUCAUUUCAGGAGACUGAUAUGAAUGGUAGGAAAUCCGGUCCCCCCUUAAGAUGGAUGUUUCUGUAGAAAUACAUCUGAUAAAUGUUUAAUUACAUUUUAAGAGGGACCAUUAUUCAUGGAACAGUCAUUAGCCCCAGAGGACUUCAAGCCCCUCACCUGGUUAAGAGCCACGUUCAUAUGCAGAUCAGCCCCCCACUUCCAACACUCCCUGCUCCAAGAGGAGAGCAGCUGGGAGAGCCUGGUGAGCUCUCCAUCAAAACAGGGUGACACAGGGCAGCAGUGGGGUGGCCAGUGGCUUGGCUGUGGGUGGGAGAUUUCAGACAGGUCGACAUAAGCCAGGAACCUGAAUCAAGGCGUCGAGACCUCAGCCCCACCCCGACCCACCUGUUCUAAGGGUCCCUGCAGGGCUCCGUAAUCCCCACCUGUGACAGACUCCCCUCCUGAAGCUCUUGAUGCUUCCCAGGCCCCCUCGAAGUCCUGUGGUUCCCUGGAGAUGCUGUCAGCCCACAAGGUGCCAGGAAGGACCUUCUUGGGAUGAAAGACUUGGGUGAACCUGUCCUGGGUGACAUGCAGUGGGUGUGUCGCUCAGAGUUCUGAGGUGGCAGGUGACAGAAUCCACGUAAGGUCCUGAAGCAAGGAAAAGCAGAACCGACCAGAAGGUCCCAGGAGCAGGAGUCCCAGGUCUUUGAGGGGCAGGAACUAGGGCAUCCUGGAGCUCUGGGUGGCAGGGGCAAGUGAGAAGAGCUUGCUGAGGGCUGCUCAGUAUAAGCCCAGGUGACUUAAGUCCCAGAAAAAAAACCGGUGGGCCCUUACCCAUAGAAGGCAGCAGAGCCAGACCAUUGCCGUGCACUCCAGGAGGUGCAGGCACCAUUCUGCCUCUCAGCCCUGCCAGGAAACUUCUCCCUUCCUCUUUCCCCUCGCCCUCCUCUACCAGGUGGAAUUAAUUAGCAAAAAAACACAAACACAAAAACAAACUCUCAAUGCCUAAAUAGCAUUGUUUAUUUGUCACUGACUUCACCUUGUAUUUGCCUGUCUUUGUGCCUCAGUCUCUAAAAUGAGCACAAAAUGAACAUUCAAGGGAGAUAAGUGUGCACUGGCCUGGGGAGUGGGGGGAGACAGCUUCAAUCUGUCAAACAGCCUAUUCCAUGUGAGAAAUGUCAGCAGAUAGAAAUGGAUUAAGUCUGCCACUGAGUUGGUUACAAUCCAGAGGUGAGGGUCUUUGGAGUGACCUUUAUUUAAGAAAUAUCACAGCAAAGUCUGUUGGAAAGACGCUCUGGUGAAUGAUGGAGCCUGAUGCACGGUGUGUUCACUGGGCUCUCCGGAAAAAGAGCCAGCAGGAGGUGUCCAUAUCCUACAUACAGAGAAAGAGGUUGAGUUUAAGGAAUUGGCUAAUGUGAUCCUGAAGGCUAGCAAGUCCAAAAUCUGCAGGCUGGGCAGGUUCGAGACCCAGGGAGGAGCCGGCGCUGCCGUUCAAGUCUGAAGGUCAUGGAGCUGGAGAGGGGAGGAGCCAGUGCUGCCGUUCAAGUCUGAAGGUCAUGGAGCUGAAGACCCAGGGAAAAGUUGGUGCUGCCAUUCAAGUCUGAAUAUCGUGGAGCUGGAGACCCAGAAAGGAACCGGUGCUGCUGUUCUAGUUUGAGGGUCAUGGAGCUGGAGACCAGGGGAAGAGCCGGAUUGCUGUCGAAGUCUGAGGGUCGUGGAGCUGGAGACGUGGGGAGAAGCUGGUGUUGCCAUUCAAGUCUGAAGAUAGGAGAGCUGGAGACCCAGAAAGGAGCUGGUGCUGCUGUUCAAGUCUGAGGGUCAUGGAGCUGGAGACCCAGAAAGGAAAUGGUGCUACUCUUCGAGUUUGAGGGUCAUGGAGCUAGAGACUGGGGGAGGAGCUACCGUUCGAGUGGCGGCUCCCUGGGUCUCCAGCUCCAAGAUGCUCAAACUUGAACAGCGGUAGCACCAGCUCCUCCCCGGGUCUCCAGUUCCAUGACCCUCAGACUUGAAGAGUAGCACCAUUGCCUUUCUGGGUCUCCAGCUCCAUGAUCCUCAGACUUGAGGAGCUGGAGACCCAGGGAGGAGCCGGUGCUGCUGUUCCUGUUUGAGGGUCAUGGAGCUGGAGACCUGGGGAGAAGCUGGUGCUGCUGUUCAAGUCUGAAGAUAGUGGAGCUGGAGACCCAGAAAGGAGUUGGCACUGCUGUUCAAGUCUGAGGGUCGUGGAGCUGGAGACCCAGAAAGGAAAUGGUGCUAGUCUUCAAGUUUGAUGGUCAUGGAGCUGGAGAUAUGGGGAGGAGUCAGUGCUGCUGUUCUAGUUUGAGGGUCUGGGAUCUGGUGACCCGGGGAGGAGCCAGUGCUGCAGUUCAGGUUUGAGGGUCAUGGAGGUGCUGACCCAGGGAGGAGCUGGUGCUGCUUUUUAAAUUUGAGGGUCGUGGAGCUGGGGAUCUGGGGAAAAGCCAGUGCUGCUGUUUUAUUUUCAGGGUCACGGAGCUAAAGACCCGGGAAGGAGCUGGUACUGCAGUUCAAGUUUGAGGUUCGUGGAGCUGGAUAUCUGGGCAGGAGUCAGUGCUCCUGUUCUAGUUUGAGGGUCUGUAGCUGGGGACCUCUGGAGGAGCCGGUGCUGUUGUUUAAGGUUUGUGGAGCUGGAGACCUGGGUGGAGCUGUUGCUGCGGUUCAAGCUUGAGGGUCAUGGAGCUGGAGACCUGGCAAGAAGUCAGUGCUGCUGUUCUAGUUUGAGAGUCUUGGAGCUGGUGACCUGGGUAGGAGCCGGUCUGCUGUUCUAGUUUUAGGGUCUUGGAGUUGGUGACCUGGGGAGGAGCAGGUGUUGCUGUAAUAGUUAGGGUCGUGAAACUGAACACCUGGGGAGGAGCCAGUGCUGCUGUUCACAUUUGAGGGUCAUGGGAGCUGGAGACUUUGUGGCGAGCUAGUGCUGCCAUUCAAGUUUGAUGAUGGUGGAGCUGGAGACCUGGGUUGGAGCCAGUUCUGCUUUUUAAAUUUGAAGGUCAUGAGGCUGGAGACCUGGGCAGGAAUUGGUGCUGCUGUUCAAGUAUAAGGGUCAUGGAGCUGGAGACUCAGGAAGGAUCAAGUGCUGCAGUUCACGUGUCGUGGAGCUGGAGACCCGGGGAGGAACGGGUGCCCCAGUUCAAGUUUGAGGGUCAUGAAGCUGGAGACACAGGGAGGAGCAACAGUUUGAGGGAUGAGUGGCUGGAGACCUGGAGAGGAGCCAGUGUUGCAAUUCAAGUUUGAGUUUCAUGGAGCUGGAAACCUGGACAGGAGUCAGUGUGGCUAUUCUAGUUUGAAAGUCUUGGAGCUGGUGACCUGGACAGGAGUCAGUGUGGCUAUUCUAGUUUGAGAGUCUUGGAGCUGGUGACCUGGGCAGGAGUCAGUGCUGCUGUUCUGGUUUGAGGGUCUUGGAGCUGGUGACCUGGGCAGGAGUCAGUGCUGCUGUUCUGGUUUGAGGAUCUUGGAGCUGGUGAGCCAGGGAGGAGCUGGUGCUGCUGUUGUAGUUAGUGUCGGGGAGCUGGAGACUUUGGGUUGAGCCGCUGUUGUAGUUCAAGUUUGAUGUUCCUGGAGAUGGAGAUUGGUGGUGGGGGGGAGUCAGUGUUUCUUUUCUAGUUUCAAGGUCGUGGAGCUGGAGAACUGGAGAGGAGAUGGUGCUGCUAUUCUAGUUUGAGGGUCUGUAGCUGGGGACCUGCAGAGGAGCUGGUGCUGCUAUUUUAGUUUAAGGUCCCUGGAGCUGGAGACCUGGGCGGAGCUGUUGCUGUAGUUCCAGUGUGAGGGUCGUGGAGCUGGAGACCUGGUGAGAAAUCAGUGCUGCUGUUCUAGUUUAACAGUCUUGGAGCUGGUGUCCUGAGUAGGAGCCGGUCUGCUGUUCUAGUUUUAGGGUCUUGGAGCUGGCAACCUGGGGAGGAGCGGGUGUUGCUGUAAGAGUUAGGGUUGUGAAGCUGAAGACCUGGGGAGGAGCCAAUGCUGCUCUUCAUGUUUUAGGGUCGUGGGGCUGGAGACUUUGGGAGGAGCUAGUGCUGCCGUUCAAGUUUGACGAUGGUGGAGCUGGAGACCUGGGUUAGAGCCAGGGCUGCUUUUUAAAUUUGAGGUUCGUGGAGCUGGAGACCUAGAGAGGAGCUGGUGCUGCUGUUUUAUUUUCAGGGUCAUGGAUCAUGAGACCCAGGAAGGAGCUGGUGCUGGAGUUCAAGUUGGAGGCGUGGAGAUGGAGACUUUGGUUGGAGCUGGUGCUGCUGUUCUAGUUUGAGGGUCGUGAAGCUGGAGAACCAGGGAGGAGGUGGUGCUGCAGUUCAAGUUUGAGGUUCAUGGAGCUGGAAACCUGGGCAGGCGUCAGUGCUGCUGUACUAGUUUGAGAGUCUUGGAGCUGGUGACCUGCAGAGGAGCUGGUGCUGCUAUUACAGUUAGCAUCCUGGAGCUGGAGAAUUUGGGUGGAGCCAGUGUUGCAACUCAAGUUUGAUGGUCGUGGAGAUGGAGACCUGGGAUUGGGGAGCCAGUGUUGCUAUUGUAGUUUGAGGGUCGUGGAGCUGGAGACGCGGGAAGGAGUUGGUACUGAAGUUUAACUUUGAGGUUCGUGGAGCUGGAUAUGUGGGCAGAAGUCAGUGCUCCUGUUUAGUUUGAGGGUCUGUAGCUGGGGACCUGGGGAGGAGCAAGUGCUGCAGUUCAAGUUUAAGGGUCGUGGAGUUGGAGAUUUGGCGAGAAGUUAAGGCUGCUGUUCUAGUUUGAGAGUCUCGGAGCUGGUGACCUGGGUAGAAGCUGGUCUGCUGUUCUAGUUUUAGAGUCUUGGAGCUGUUGACCCCGGAAGAGCGGGUGGUGCUGUUAUAGUUAGGGUCGUGAAGCUGAAGACCAGGGGAGGAGCCGGUGCUGCUGUUUGAGAGUGGCGGAUAUUGAGACUCGGGGAGGAGCGGGUGCUGGAGUUCUAGUUUGAGGUGGGGAGCUGGAGACUUUGGGUGGAGCUGGUGCUGCUGUAGUUUGAGGGUCUGUAGAUGGGGACCUCGGGAGGAGCUGGUGCUGCUGUUUUAGUUUAAGGUCCAUGGAGCUGGAGACCCAGAGAGGAGAUGGUGCUGCUGUUCUAGUUUGAGGGUCAUGGGGCUGGAGACUUCAGCCAGUGCUGAAGUUCAAGUUUGAGGUUUGUAAACCUGGGCAGGAGUCAGGGCUGCUGUUGUAGUUUGAGGGUCUUAAAGCUGUUGUCCCAAGGAGGAGCUGGUGCUGCUGUUCUAGUUUUAGGGUCCUGGAGCUGGAGACCAGGAGAGGAGCUGGUGCUGCUGUUCUAGUUUAAGGUCCAUGGAGCUGGAGACCCAGAGAGGAGAUGGUGCUGCUGUUGCAGUUUGAGGGUCUGCAGCUGGGGACCUGGGGAGGAGCGAGUACUGCUGUUUUAGUUUAAGGUCCGUGGAGCUGGAGAUCCAGGGAGGAGCAGGUGCUGCAGUUCAAGUUUGAGGUUCGUGGAGCUGGAGACCCGGGGAGGAGCAGGUGCUGCAGUUCAAGUUUGAGGUUCGCAGAGCUGGAGACCUUGGGAGGAGCGAGUGCUGCUGUUCAAGUUUGAGGUUCGUGGAGCUGGAGACCCGGGGAGGAGCGGGUACUGCUGUUCAAGUUUGAGGUUCAUGGAGCUGGAGACGCUGGGAGGAGCGGGUGCUGCUGUUCAAGUUUGAGGUUCGUGGAGCUGGAGACCCGGGGAGGAGCGGGUGCUGCCGUUCAAGUUUCAGGAUCGUGGAGCUGGAGACCUGGUGAGAGAAGUCAGUGCUGCUGUUCUUGUUUGAGAGUCUCGGAGCUGGUGUUUUAGGUAGAAGCUGGUCUGCUGUUCUAGUUUUAGCGUCGGAGCUGUUGACCCCGGAGGAGCGGGUGGUGCUGUUACAGUUAAGGUCGUGAAGCUGAAGACCAGAGGAGGAGCUGGUCCUGCUGUUUUAUUUUGAGGGUCACAGAUAUUGAGACUCGGGGAGGAGCGGGUGCUGAAGUUCUAGUUUGAGGUGUGGAGCUGGAGACUUUAGGUGGAGCUGGUGCUGCUGUUCUUCUUGUUUGAGGGUCUGUAGCUGGGGACCUGGGGAGGAGCCAGUGCUGCUGUUUUCGUUUAAGGUCUGUGGAGCCGGAGACCCAGGAAGGAGCUGGUGGCUGUAGUUCAAGUUAGAGGUGUAGAGCUGGAGACUGGGUGUAGCCAGUGCUGCUGUUCUAAUUUGAGGUUUGUGGAGCUGGAGACCCAGGGAGGAGCUGGUGCCGCUGCUGUUGUUUAAGUCUGAGGGUUGUGUAGCUGGAGACCUGGGAGGAGCCUGUUGUGCUGUUUAAGUCUGA